GGCGGGCGCGGGACGCGGCGCGCGCCGGCCCCCCCUCAGUUAUGUAACGAGCGCGGCGGCGGCGCCGGAGCGGCCUGGCCUGGCGUGUCCUCUCCUCUCCUGUUCUGCCCUGCUCUGUCCGGAGCCGUCCGGCCCGGAGACCACUCUGAGGAGCCGGAGAGCCGGCAGAGUUCCCUCAGAGCAAGGGUCAUGCAGUGCCCGUGCUGCCACCUCCCGACCCCCCGGGCCUCAGCCUCGGCACGGCGGCCCAUGCAGGUCUCUUCCUUCGGUUCCUGCCGAACUCUCCUUAUGUGGUUCAGCACCUGAAGACCCAGCGCGGGGCACAGACAAUCAAUGACCUAGCGUUCGUUUGCUGCAGUUUCUGAAAAAUGUUUUCACCAAGCUAAUUCCAUACGAGGAUGGCUAGGGGACGUGCAGUGGUGCUUUCUCCCGGAGGGACCUCGGGGCAGAGGCACAUCUGAUUUUAGGAAGCCUGGACAGGCCAGUCCUUCCAUGCUGCCCAGAUGGGGGUUGCAGCGGUUUACUUCUUGUCAAGCUCCCUGCCUGUGUGAUAAUCACUGUUUCCUUCCGUGCCAUCACCCUUUCUUUCAGGACACCAAAGUAACACUGAUGCUUUCAUUAGGUGUCAUCGAUAACAAAAAAGUAGGUGUUAAAACAGAAUUGUUUUUUUCCCUGCAAGGUCCCUUCAAGGACCUCUGAAUAUGAGGGAACAAAGAGCCGUGUCCUCAUUUUUAAAAGCAAAACAAUAAAUAUGUUGAAGUGCAUGUCACAGUGAUCGUAACUGUAAUAGACACUGCCUACAGCGUUAUAAUUUUACAACCCAUGGCCUUAACCACCAGUAGCCACAAAAAAGCAAAUGCCGUAGGUUUGUUUGGCAGAGGGAAGCUCAGAAGUAAAUGUUUCCUUUCUAGACUGUUAUUGUGAAGCUUGCUAAUGUUAACAUUUAUAUAAGACAAGCAACACGAGAUGAUGAUUUGGCAGCAAAAUGGACAGCAAAGAAAUGUAAAACAAAUAAAUCCAGCAUGCAGGCUCUGUGAAUGGAGAAUGAGACAGAGAAAUAAAGGAAGUGUAAAGGAUAUCUUCAAGAAAUACCAGAUUCUCAAACCAAACCGUGACCUAUUUAGAAAGUACAGAAGGUUCUGACCUGAAAAAUGUUGUUUCUGUAUGUUUCAAUACUCUGGUUUUCCGCACCUCAGUAUUUCAGCAACUCAAAAUGGGUCCAUAGACACAUCAGUCUUCUAAAAAUCUGAUAUAAAAAUUUUUAGGGGCAAGAAACAUCAGUAAGGCAACAACAGCGAUUUCAGAGUUUCAGGAAAUAAUGCACACCAAGAGGCUUUUUUCAUUAAAAAUACUGUUUCCAUUUAUUAAUCUGAUUCAAAGACCCACGUAGGAAGUUGCUUUCUAAUGGUAGGGCCUGCAAACUCUUGCAGAAUCAGCUACAGAUAAGGUAACAGCAACCAAGAGAACUGUUCCAGUUAUAGUAACAACUAUUCUGUGUUUGUGCAACAAAGUGUUGGUAUAUGUAACCGCUCUGGAGUCUGAGAAGGGACAAUUUCUUGCUCCUUAGUUGGGUGUUUCUUACAUGGUCACGGGGUCAGUCUUAUCUGGAAGCUGCAGUUACCAGCUGGAGUGAUGUCUUUAUCCGAAUUGGCUGUAAAAACGCACUCCUGUUGUGUAUCAGGAAGUGUCUGCAAACGACAAACCUGCUGAACACCUUGGUCUGGGCACUGUUUGCUUCAGCAUCCUCAGAGGAAGUCGCCGAGACUUAAAAGGUUUCUGCUGAAAACGUGACACGAUAGCUGGAGCCUCGGCCCUUCUGUGAGCAACGCUGAAAUGAUGUAACACAGCAUGCCUGGCUUGAAUCUCUGGAGGAGGCAGGAAAGUGCUGUGCGCUUCAUGGCAACACAGACUUAAGAUGUAGUUUGAAUAAGAGGCUACUGUGCUCUUCCUCCAGGGGUUAAUCUUGUACUGAAGCAUUGGCUCUCCUGCGCUGAGCUCCCCAAUCAUUCAUUCAAAAGGGAGGUAUUUGCACAAACAUCAAGACUGGGGGAAUUACCUAGGAAAUCCUCCUCCUUUUAACCGUGCCCACAUAGUCCUCUGGCAAGGAAAAGCUGGUUUCUGCAUUUCACCCAGCUGCUGGCAACAUCUCUUCCUCCUUCAGUUCUAAAAGCUGCUUGAAGUAUUAACAGCUGAACCUGGAUGAGUGGCAGCCAGCCCAGCUCAUGACGGAGGGGGAGACGUCACCACACAGAGCACGCACAGAUGGAGUUACACAAUCUCUGUGGUGUUGAAAGCAGCGCUGGAAACUUGUCAGGAGCCCAAAGGCCAGAGCUAAUUUGUAUUUCCUAUUGCACAGCAUGAUUUUAAUCAGAGCGAAAAGCGCCCAGUUGUGUUUUAUGUACCGAGUGUUAUAAGCAGAGACAAGUUAACAGAGCAACUAGGGGCAGGACAUGUAUGAGGACAGCGUAGAGUAACAUUAGAUGGGGAAUAUACCUAAUUUAUCAGCAUUUCCUUUAUUCUUCAGGAUGGCCAUGGACUAUGAAGCAAGAGAAUAAGAGGCAACUUCCGUCAAAAUUCUAUGAUUGACCAAUUCUCUUUACAAGAAGAAAAAAAAAAAAAGGUAAAAAAGACACCUGCAAAAACCUUAAAGACAAGCAUUUUUCUGAAAGUUCUAGAUGUGUCACCAAGUAAAAUAUGGUAUUCAGUAAAAUACGGUAUUGCAGCCAGUAUUUGACAGCAGUCAAGUCUAGGUGAUCUUUAACAGAAGCUGCUCUGGAUUUAGCUUCAGAUAAGUGUGUGCAAGUUCCUUGUAAGAAUUAAAUUUCUGCCUCAUGGAGAGCAGACAGCACAAAGGACUGGCACAGCCCCCAAGCACCACUAUUCCCAGAACAGGCUCACCUCCAGUACCUCCUUUCCCUGCUGUGGUGGCUGGAGAGCAGGAGUCGGGAGCCAUUUGGUCACCUUACCCCAGCUGGGCUUACAGCCAUGCUCCCUCCCCAGCACACAGCAUCGGGAUGCACCUUUGUGUGCCAGAGAGGGAAUGGGGCACCAGGUUAAUAGGACAGUAAAUACACCUUGACGUUUCUUGAUUGGUUUGCUUUGUACUCCCAAUAGAUUUACUGGAAACUCAGAGGUGGGGUUUGCUGCUCAGGGAGUGCUAUCAUUGGAGAAAAUCCUUCAUUUCAGCCUUCUUCUCUUUACCCACUGGGAAUAAAUGCUCCUUUCUACCUCAGUUCAGCUUUAUUCCUUGACAGCUGAGAAAAAGAAAGAAGGCAGGGGGAAGAAAUCAGACCUUGGACCUUUAUUUUGCUCUGGAGAACCAAUGUCUAGUUCAGAGUGGGAUAAACUGCAUAUCAGGGAUAUAAAAGGAAACCUGUCAGACAAGCUUAUCUGUAGCUUCCUAUAUUCAGUCCGAUAAACUGUAUUCCCAGAGCAUUUACCCCAUCAGCCAGGGCCUUUCUAUUGUAGCCCCUGAAAUCAGCACCCUCUCUGCUCUCAUUCUUCCUCCACAUGUUCCUUUACCCCCCUCCCCCAUACACAUUUGUCCCCCUAACUCAGACAGCUCCCCAAGGAGCUCAGGCACCACCUAUGUUCAGGGAUGGGGAAAAGAGAAGAGCGAGUCAGCUGAAUGUGCAAACAAUCCUAUUUGCACCCCAUCAUGUACAAUUCAGAUCUUUGUCAGCAAGAUGGAGUGCACUUUGUCCAGUUUGUUUUCUUCUCGGAUUAUCAUCCACGCCCUUCCCAUAUGAACAUUACCAAAUACUGUACCUGAAUCAGCCUUUUCAAGACAGGCUGACUGCUGCCUGGUUUAUACCUGUCCACCAGCUGCCUGUUUGCUUUGUUUAAAAAUUAUAGCCAACCAUAAAAUGUAAUGUGACAUCUACAGCAGCCAUGAAAAAAUAAUAAUAAUAAUAAUAAUAAUUUAAAAAAGCCACCAAAAGCAUUUUCCUGGUGUCACUAAGGCACUGGAUGGAAGUGGUUUUAGUUGCACAAGCCCUCUUUGGACGUAGCCUUGCCUGGACACAGCCCACCUUGCACUCCGGGGUGUUGGGAGAGCUGCCUGCUGCCCACCUGCCUUACCCCCAGCUCAGCUCCGCCUCGCAGGGACACGCGGGGGAUGCGGGUACCAGACAGUCCCACCGCGCACCGGCCUGGACAGACGGACAGCCCGGCGGCAGGGAAGGACGGCGGGGCAAAGGUGCGAAGAGCUUUUUGGCGCUGUGGCAGCAGCCGGAGCAGCACCGGCAGGGCCCCAGGCCCGACAGACAAUAGCUGUCUCCCUGCUCUCUCUCCCUGCCGGCAGCAUCCGACGGAGGAGCCUCAUGAAUCAAGUCGAACAUCCAGCGACAGGCUGCAGAAAUCCAUUAAUAUGCGGCCGCCGCCGCACGCCGCCAGCCCCCUGCCUGGCGCGGCGCUCACCUGCCUGUCUCACCCCUGGCAGGCAGCGAGGGAACAAAGGAGCGGCGCAGGGCGGCCGCAGCGCCUGCCCCCGCCGCCGAGGGAGGCAGCGGCUGCACACAAAGCCCGCUCGCCUGCCGCCAUGGGCGUGAGGAAUGCUCCCGCUCGCCCUAUUGUCUGGGCUCCUUUGUGCUCCUCCAGACCCCGGUCCCCAACCGCACAGGCAGGAAUAGUGGGAGCGGGACAGACACGGCUUUGUUGAAGGGAGCCCUCGAACGCGGAAAGCUUCCUGCCCUGGCCCUGCCGUACGUGCCCGUCUGGCACGCUGCUCCUGCCCCAGAGGACAGGUAGGGAGCAGGGGGUGCAGAGCAGAGCGGACAGAUGGACAGGUCACUGGUGAUUCUCCACGCACACGGGGCACUCGGCGGCCCCUUCUUGAGCACCUUUUUCUCCCUGCAGAGACUGACCCUGUGGUGCCCCUGGGAGAUGGGGAAUGGUCACCGGGUCCUGCAGAAGGGAGUGUGAGGGCUGCCCUAACCCCCUGUCACUGGUGGGGGCUGGUGCCGCUGGCUAGAGGGAACAAUGAGGGAGCAGAUCUGGGAGGACGGACCACUCUUGACACCACCUGUAUCCCUCCCAGCCUCAGGAGCAACACAGACACCUCUGUCAAACCUCCAAUGCUUUGUCAAGCAGUAGCUGUGGCACCCCCUGUGCGAGCCACGUCUGUGGCUGCAGCAUUGCGACCCCCCAAGUCCUACAGGGCUGGUGGCAGGAUCCAGAUUGCCUCUACCCUCUGUCUCAGGGCAGAGCUGUAAUUGCCAAGCGCUCCCGAGGGGUCAGUCCCCAGCUGCAGCACUGGUAGCUCUCCUCCCACUGCCACUGCACACCGGGAUUGGAAUGGCCAGGACAGAGAGGAGGGGAAAGCCAGGUCUCUCCAGUGCAGGGAGCAGGAUGUCCCAGUGGUGCCCAUGCCACUGCCCAAAGGAUGAAGCUCUCCCUGGUCCCUUGGCAGCUGUAGCACGUGGAGCAGCUCCAGCGAGAGAGCCCCAUACAGGUAUGGCUCACCUGGACUCAGCACUCCAGCUUGUGCAGUCCCUGCCCCGAGCACCCUCAGCUGUCUCGCUCCUCUCCACUGACACUGCUCACACAACCAAUCUCAGCCAUGCACAGAAAUACUUGCAAUGGUCCAGGUGUCAUUUGAACAAUAUGGCCAAUGGAACAUAAGCAAAGAAAGAGAGAAAAGGUCCAAACCUGAGGGAAAAGCUUGUUCCUGAAGGACGUGGCCUAGGGCUGCAAAGGAGACCCAGCACGCUCCUGCUCCGCUGUUGGGGCAACAGUGCCGAGAGCUCUGGCACAGAGAACAACAGGGUCCAGGAGCAAGAACCAAGGCACUGUAGGGGUGCUGCUGGUGGAGCCUGAGGGUGUCCACAAGGGACAGGGAUGGUGAGGAGGCAACAUACAACUAAAAAGCCCAUUUCUCAGUCUUGUUUCUGGGAAAACAGUUUCUGACAUUUUCUGGUUCUAAGGAUUGCCAUUAAAGAAGAAGGCUCUACCCAAAGUGCAAUUUCUCAUCUUAUUUGAUGAGAAAAUUUACAAUAUUUUAAAUAAAUUCUAAAUAAAUUCUUGGAAAAAAUUUCUAUGGACACCAACAGGGAGGUCUCCAGACAACCUUCAUUCAGGAAUACAUUUUUCCUAAAGAAAACUCUAAAAUUCCUACUUUAAAAAAAAAAAGGUAGAAACCUUGAAUCUAAACAGCAUCACUUCCUUCCUUGAGUUUUCCUGCUUCACAGUGAAGUCUCAGCAGAUCUUGUAAAGUAUAUUUGUGCUUUAUAAGCAGGAGUCAUACUGGGUUUGAUGGACAAGAGAUCUUCAGCAACAUCUAAGUUGCAGAAGCAAGACAGUCAUUCCCAAAACCACCAAAUCAGAGAAGACUGUGAGAGCAGAUAAAGCAAAAAGCCAGAUAGAGGCAAAAGGCCUUCAUCUUCAAAAAGUCAGAGAAAAUGGAAAGACUGCGGGAAAGGGGAAAUACCUGAGAAGGAAAGGGGAAGUACCUGCUGGGCAGCAGGUUGGUGGUAGAGCUCCUGGCCUCUGUCCAUGCCUCCUCUAUGACCCCUUGACACAGCAAGGGACACAGCAGCUCUCUUCUCCCAAGCCAGCACCAAGCUGGUGUUCCUGCAGAGUGGCAUUUCAGCAGUUGGAGGACUGGCUGCAUCAGCCCAGAGCUGAACUAAUACAAGAGCCAUUUUGAAAUCCAAGCUUGGAGGGGCUGCCUGAGUUAAUGAAACUGGUGGCAUUGGGACGAAAUGCCUCUUACUGAAAAGCAGAGAACUUCCCCCAGGCUGCCUUUGGCUCCUGCAAAGCAUUCAGGUCAGUUUGUAACUUAUUAAUAUCAACACUCACAGGCUCAAAGUUCAGCACGUGUUUAGUUGUUCUUCUGGAGCAGCAGACUUGAAAAGCAUAUUGCGCAGGUUUCCUAGGAAUAUAAGAGACGUGCAGAGAAAGCAUCCACUGCCCAUCUGCUCAGGAGACAGCCACUGCACCUCUUUGGGUCAUGAGACAUGCUUCCUUCACCACCUCGUGACUGAGAAGCUACCUCUGCUCAGCUACUGCAUCCCUCUCCAUCAAGGUCCUUCCUCCUCUUGUGACAAAACAGUUUUGCACUCAAGUGGUGCUCAAAAGGGUCCCCAGGUUUAGGAGGAAAUGCUCAGUUAAGAAGGAGGAUUACACUGCACAUUUUAAGUGUCUUUCCUGCAGCUGGAAUUGUACCUUAAUGUAAUUAAACCUCCAGUGCUCCAACUGAAAGUGCUCAAUACAUGAUGUCACUUGAAAAAUGAAUCACUUUGCCACUGGACAAGUAGAGAUGGGUAGUGGAGUCAGUGUGGCAUCACACAGUCAGAUGAGAGCAACAGGGCUGUAUCUUCCAGCACUGGGACUUGUGUGCAGGGGGACUGCUGCUCUUGUAAGGCCAUUAAGCCCACACAGGCCAGCUCACCUCCAAAAAAUGCAGAGUUCCCAGGGCUGGUCUUCUAUCUGCUGCUCCUGACAGGCCUUUCCUUUGGAGGGAAAAGUGACCCUGGCAGAUGUGGAGCAUGGUCACCCCACUGGAUGUAGUGAGGGUAAACACACAGAGGACCUGCAAGAAGGACACAAUGGAAAGCAAGGUGGAAGCUCAUUGCUGAUCAAACCUGGGAGAGAAGUGCUGAUGGAUGCAGCUGACUGCAGUCUUUCAAAGGUAUCACUGGGCAGGAUGGCACCAGAAACAAAAUCAAAUUAAGAGUUUCUGAGCAGGUGGCAUGCUUUGAAUCCUGUCUGGCCUGGGAUUGCCACCCUGGCAUACAUCUGUUGCAGUGAUCAAGUUACCCAGUGAGAAGAGGCUACACAGCAAUUAUAAGUCCCUCCCCGCCAGAAGAGCAACCAAAGGUCCUCUGCUACCCUCAGCUUCCCUGCAGACUCACAAGUAAAAGAGCCAAACAGGUUUCCUUUGCUGUGCAGCUACUGCCCAAACCAGUGUGGGUAACAGCAUGGACCUUGAUUGUCAACAGACAAGGCUACACAGAAUUUCAGGACGAUGCACAGAAGCAAAUACAAUUGGAGAAAGGAAUGAAGUUCCACUUCUGCAGCCACUUACCAGAAGAAAUGAUGCAUUUUGGCCAUCAGGAUCAUCUGUUUUCCCUGCAAAGAUAUAUUAACAAGGUCCUUGCUUCUCAGUGACUAAGGAGGAGGGAAGAGAAACCUUGACCACAAAGAGGAACUCAGUCUCUGGGAAACAUGCAAAGAGGAUGCUGUUAAAUAUUUCAGGAAACACUAGGGGGAAGAUGGGGGCAGCCAGAAGUUUUGGAAGUUUUGAUUUCCCCAAGAAAAUAAACUCCCUAUUCUAGCUAGAGGAGAAAUGGCUUGUGAGCCCUCUCUCCUGGAAUUUUACUUGUGGUACUCAAUAUUUUAAAGGGCUGCAGAGGAGGGAACACUCUUGACUGGAUUAAUUUACAAGGUAAAAGUGACUCUUUUUUUCCCCAGGGAGAGUUAAACUAGACUCAUGCCUUUGAUGAAGAGUGUUUGAAACCCUCCUGCUUGCACGAGGAGCACAGGAGCUCCUGCCACUGGAACACAGGCAUUGCUUAGCCCAGGACCACCCCAGAACUGCCUGAGUGCCAUCUUUGUGGGGGAAGUUAAAUACUUCAGAUUCCCUUUUCAACCAGGCUACUUAUGCUUUGGAUCUGUUUUUGUUAAAGCCUUCUUAUUUUAAUUAAGAAAGUACUUGUUGAAAAGCA